GCCGCAGUCGUCUAGGGGUAAGGACACCAGUUUGUGGUCCACCACAUUCAAUAACACUGGAAACCGAGGUUCGAGUCCUCGCUGCGGCA
rfam:Claviceps purpurea 20.1, WGS project CAGA01000000 data, contig: scaffold00007